UACGGUGGCCAUAGCGGAGGGGAAACGCCCGGUCCCAUUCCGAACCCGGAAGCUAAGCCCUCCAGCGCCGAUGGUACUGCACCCGUGAGAGUGUGGGAGAGUAGGACGCCGCCGGAC
rnacentral:rRNA from 1 species